AUUGAACGCUGGCGGCAGGCCUAACACAUGCAAGUCGAACGGUAGCACAGAGGAGCUUGCUCCUUGGGUGACGAGUGGCGGACGGGUGAGUAAUGUCUGGGAAACUGCCCGAUGGAGGGGGACAACUACUGGAAACGGUAGCUAAUACCGCAUAACGUCGCAAGACCAAAGAGGGGGACCUUCGGGCCUCUUGCCAUCGGAUGUGCCCAGAUGGGAUUAGCUAGUAGGUGGGGUAACGGCUCACCUAGGCGACGAUCCCUAGCUGGUCUGAGAGGAUGACCAGCCACACUGGAACUGAGACACGGUCCAGACUCCUACGGGAGGCAGCAGUGGGGAAUAUUGCACAAUGGGCGCAGGCCUGAUGCAGCCAUGCCGCGUGUAUGAAGAAGGCCUUCGGGUUGUAAAGUACUUUCAGCGAGGAGGAAGGCGUUGUGGUUAAUAACCGCAACGAUUGACGUUACUCGCAGAAGAAGCACCGGCUAACUCCGUGC
rnacentral:rRNA from 1 species